rnacentral:rRNA from 1 species
GUAACGGCCUACCAAGGCGACGAUCAGUAGCUGGUCUGAGAGGAUGAUCAGCCACACUGGGACUGAGACACGGCCCUUACUCCUACGGGAGGCAGCAGUGGGGAAUAUUGGACAAUGGGCGCAAGCCUGAUCCAGCCAUGCCGCGUGAGUGAAGAAGGCCUUCGGGUUGUAAAGCUCUUUUCUGCGUGACGAGCAAGGACGGUAGCGCAGGAAUAAGUCUCGGCUAACUACGUGCCAGCAGCCGCGGUAAUA